rfam:Ailuropoda melanoleuca scaffold2693_31, whole genome shotgun sequence.
CCAAAGGCUCUUUUCAGGGCCACCUAUAUUUUCUGAAGAAGAGUUU